UGGGGUGUCGCCAAGCGGUAAGGCACCGGAUUCUGAUUCCGGCAUUCCGGGGUUCAAAUCCCUGCACCCCAGCUA
rnacentral:tRNA from 1 species